AGGUGACAGGUAAGGUGGGGGUGACAGGUGGUAUUUUAGAUAAAGAUGCAGGUGAAUUGGUCGAGGAUGUGGGUGAAACAGGUGUCGGUGGAGAGGCAGGUGAGGUUCCUGGUGAAGUGGGUGAGGCAGGUAAAGUAACAGGUGAACUAGAAGAGGUAGGUGAACCAGGUGAGGUGAAAGAGGCAGGUGAGGUUGUAGGUGAGUUGGGUGAGGCAGGUGAGGUUGUAGGUGAGUUGGGUGAGGUAGGUGAGGUUGUAGGUGAGUUGGGUGAGGUAGGUGAGGUUGUAGGUGAGUUGGGUGAGGCAGGUGAGGUUGUAGGUGAGUUGGGUGAGGCAGGUAAAAGAACAGGUGAGUUGUGUGAAGGAUUUGAGGUCGUUGGUAAACAGUGUGAAGCAGGUAAGGCGAGAGAGGCAGGUGAGGCUGUAGGUGAGUCGUGUGAGACAGGUAAACUAGCAGGUGAGCUGAGUGAGGGGAGCACAGUAGCUGAGGCUGAAGAGAUGGAGGCCUGUGAGUCUGGGUGGGGGUCUGCUCCUCUUAAACAGCGCAGUAAGAGGAGAAGCAUGUUGACCGUGGAGGUGGGUGGUAAAGCCGGACGUCUGGCCGGUAAACCGAGUGCUGCAGAGAACAGAGCAGCUCUAUCUGACAGCAGUGACAGUGAAGGGUGUGU